GACGAACCGUGCGAACGUUGUUCGGAAUCACUGGGCUUAAAGGGCGCGUAGGCGGGUUGUACAGUCAGACGUGAAAUUCCUGGGCUCAACCUGGGGGCUGCGUUUGAUACGUAUGGGCUUGAGUUCGGAAGAGGGUCGUGGAAUUCCCAGUGUAGAGGUGAAAUUCGUAGAUAUUGGGAAGAACACCGGUGGCGAAGGCGGCGACCUGGUCCGAUACUGACGCUGAGGCGCGAAAGCGUGGGGAGCAAACAGG
rnacentral:rRNA from 1 species